rnacentral:rRNA from 1 species
UACAGAGGGUGCGAGCGUUGUUCGGAAUUAUUGGGCGUAAAGCGCAUGUAGGCGGGUUGUUAAGUCGCGUGUGAAAGCCCCAGGCUCAACCGAGGACGUGCACCCGAAACUGCGGGGCUUGAGUACGAAAGAGGAUCGCGGAAUUCCCGGUGUAGAGGUGAAAUUCGUAGAUAUCGGGAGGAACACCAGUGGCGAAGGCGGCUUCCUGGCCUGUUCUUGACGCUGAGGCGCGAAAGCUAGGGGAGCAAACGGGG